AAUUUUCAAUGGACACCAAAGAGGAAUGCAGGUUUAGAGGUCCUGGGUGUUUAAGUGACUUACUCCAAAUCACAUAGGAAAUAAGUUGCAGAAACAUAAUUCAAUUCCAGAUGCUCUGACUCCCAGAGACAAUGCUCUUUCCACUAUGCCAUGAAAACUGGA
rnacentral:lncRNA from 1 species